UGCACGAAGAAAUAACAAUACACAAAAGAAUAAGUGAAAUAAAAGCCGCAAUGACAGGGAUGACGGCGCAAAGAAUCGUGAGAAUCAUCAUAGUUAUGGCUGAUAACACUAUUAGUACGCAUUGGUCGAUUCAACUAAGGUAAGUUCAAUUUGAUCCGAAGAAGGAAAAAGCAAUAUGACACAAAGAAUAAGAUCUAAAGAAAAGAGGAUCACCAAAUCGAAAUCGGCGGGAGUGCUGGAGAGCUUCUACAAAGUUAAUCCGCUUUUAGCAGAUGAAAUUUUUAUCUCAAGAUAUUGCUUUAUUUAUAAAAGAAAUUAUAAAAUAUAAUUUAGAUAGAAUGCAUGUAAUGAUAUUGUAAUGAUAUUCGAUAAAAACAGAAUAGCCUUAUAAAAUGACUUGAUAAACUA